GUUGUGAUUUGGUUUCAUUUUAGUAUCUUUGAUCCAUUAGAAACAAC
rnacentral:other from 2 species